rnacentral:lncRNA from 1 species
GUACAGUCCCUGUCACUAGGGACCAUUACAGUCCCUGACACUAGGGACCAGUACAGUCCUUGACACUAGAGACCAGCACAGUCUCUGCACUAGGGACCAGGGACUGUACUGGUACCAGUACAGUCCCUGGCACUAGGAACCAGUACAGUCCUUGACACUAGGGACCAGUGCACUCUCUGACAUUAUGGAUCAGUUAUGUCCCUGACACUAAGGCCCAGUUAUGUCCCUAAAACUAGGGACCAGUUCAGUCCCUAAAACUAGGGACUAGUACAGUCCCUGACACUAGGGACCAGUUUAGUUCCCGACACUAGUGGCUCAAAUAGUUUCUCGGUUCAGUGUUAUUCAAAAGAAUACUAUUUGACACGGCUCAGAGGUUAUUUGUUAUAAGCAAAAUCAGUGGUAACAAUAGAUGUUAAUUAUUAUCUCAAGUCUUUUUUAAACUCUAGAUUUUUUCGGAUAUUACGUAGAUGCAGAAUUACGUUCAAAGCCACAGGUCAUACUUGUUAGAUUUAAAUCCAUAAUUAAACUUAAAUAUUUUGUUGUGAUAAUUGUUAAUGUAAGAAAGUUGCAGCUCAUCUAGGCCUGAGGGCCAAACUUAUGAAAGAGUAUCGAUAUUAAACCGUAUUUCGAAUAUCAGUUCAUAAAUUUGGAGUCAGGCAAAUUUUUGGAUAUCAUCAAAUAGCAUAAUAUUCCAACAUAAAAAAUUAUCGCAAAAAAUAGCUUUUAAUUAAAAUCUUUCGCCACCAAAAGGUUGCUUGGUUUCUUCUUUAUCCUAUAAAUCUCUCUUAAACUACAUAUUUAGUUAAAUUAAGUUGACCGCCUUGUGAUUCAACCAUAGAGCUUGCAAUACAUAGAGUAAAAUACGGUAUAGAGACUGGCAUGAAUGAAGAAGCAGUUAGAUCUUUAAGGAUACAUGCAGAAAUGUUUUUUAUAAACCACUCAAUAAAAAUAUAUGUAUGUU